AGAUGAGAGAAGCUGUAAGAGAAGUGGCAAAAUGCUUUCCAACAGCCAUAAUAAGCGGAAGAAGCCGAGAAAAAGUAAAGGAGUUCGUGAAAUUGAGGAAUCUGCACUAUGCUGGGAGCCAUGGAUUAGACAUUAUGGCUCCAAAUUCGGACAAUGAGGCUAAUGGGGUUUCCUAUCAACCAGCCAAGAAGUUUUUACCGGAAAUUCAACAAGUAAUUUCUUGUCGGAAAAAUCGAAUUAUUAUUAUUA